GACGAACGCUGGCGGCGUGCUUAACACAUGCAAGUCGAACGGAAAGGCCCUGCUUUUGUGGCGAGCGGGAGAGGCGAGCGGGUGAGUAACACGUGAGGCACCUCCCCUUGAGAUUGGGAUAACAUAAUGAGACUGGGACUAAUACAGGACAUGAGCUCCUUCUGCAGGGGGGGGAAGGGUUAGUGUCGGCGGUUGGGGACGCACCCGAGGCUUAUCAGCUUGUUGGUGUGGUAGUGGAUUACCAAGGCUAUGACGGGUAGCCGGCCUGGGAGGGUGACCGGCCACAUUGGGACUGAGAUACGGCCCAGACUGCUACGGGAGGCAGAAGUGGGGAAUAUUGCAAAAUGGGCGGAAGCCUGAUGCAGCGACGCCGCGUGGGGGAUGACGGCCUUCGGGUUGUAAACCGCUUUCGACUGUGACGAAGCGCAAGUGACGGUAACGACUAAAGAAGCACCGGCUAACUACGUG
rnacentral:rRNA from 1 species